CCUACGGGAGGCAGCAGUGGGGAAUAUUGGACAAUGGGCGAAAGCCUGAUCCAGCAAUGCCGCGUGAGUGAUGAAGGCCUUCGGGUCGUAAAGCUCUUUUACCAGGGAUGAUAAUGACAGUACCUGGAGAAUAAGCUCCGGCUAACUCCGUGCCAGCAGCCGCGGUAAUACGGAGGGAGCUAGCGUUGUUCGGAAUUACUGGGCGUAAAGAGUACGUAGGCGGUUAUUCAAGUCAGAGGUGAAAGCCCGGGGCUCAACCCCGGAACUGCCUUUGAAACUAGAUAACUAGAGUCUUGGAGAGGUUAGUGGAAUUCCGAGUGUAGAGGUGAAAUUCGUAGAUAUUCGGAAGAACACCAGUGGCGAAGGCGACUAACUGGACAAGUACUGACGCUGAGGUACGAAAGCGUGGGGAGCAAACAGGAUUAGAUACCCUGGUAGUCCACGCCGUAAACGAUGAUAACUAGUUGUUCGGUCACUUGGUGACUGAGUGACGCAGCUAACGCAUUAAGUUAUCCGCCUGGGGAGUACGGUCGCAAGAUUAAAACUCAAAAGAUAGUAGGACGUGUAGACGUGCGACGACGACACGAGGGAGGUAGAG
rnacentral:rRNA from 1 species